GAUAAAAUGGUCUAACGUAGGAUAUAGGGUUCAUGCCCCUAAGGUGCCGUGAACAUCGGCUUUUAUCU
rnacentral:tRNA from 1 species